rnacentral:lncRNA from 1 species
UUUUGUGGAGCUGGAGUUCAUGGGAAGUUCUACAGUGCUUGCGCCAGAGAAACGUCGGUGCCUCUGUACCUGUUAGACGAAGGAGCGUUUGCCAAGUCUUGAAAGGUAGACAUCGGUGACGGUGUAUACGUUGAAAAGGGCCUGCUGAAGAGGCUGUGCCUGGAUGCUUACAACUCAGGCUUUCACUUCGCGGAGGACCUCCUUAAAGCUCCUUUUUCAAUAGAAGACGUUGAAGGGAGGUCCUUUGGGCGGCUGUGAAAUGCCUUCCACAGAAGGAUCCGUUGGAUUCCAAGAAGGUCAACACCAUAGUAGACUACACAACGCAACAUUUCAGCCUACUUCCAGGGCAGCUGGAGAACUCGUCCUCCUUACUAGCCCGGGGAUAUUAAAUGGAUGUGUUCAAGCACAAA